rnacentral:rRNA from 1 species
AUUGAACGCUGGCGGCAGGCUUAACACAUGCAAGUCGAACGAUGAUUAUCUAGCUUGCUAGAUAUGAUUAGUGGCGGGCGGGUGAGUAACAUUUAGGAAUCUGCCUAGUAGUGGGGGAUAGCUCGGGGAAACUCGAAUUAAUACCGCAUACGACCUACGGGUGAAAGGGGGCGCAAGCUCUUGCUAUUAGAUGAGCCUAAAUCAGAUUAGCUAGUUGGUGGGGUAAAGGCCCACCAAGGCGACGAUCUGUAACUGGUCUGAGAGGGUGAUCAGUCACACCGGAACUGAGACACGGUCCGGACUCCUACGGGAGGCAGCAGUGGGGAAUAUUGGACAAUGGGGGCAACCCUGAUCCAGCCAUGCCGCGUGUGUGAAGAGGGCCUUUUGGUUGUAAAGCACUUUAAGCAGGGAGGAGAGGCUAAUGGUUAAUACCCAUUAGAUUAGACGUUACCUGCAGAAUAAGCACCGGCUAACUCUGUGCCAGCAGCCGCGGUAAUACAGAGGGUGCGAGCGUUAAUCGGAAUUACUGGGCGUAAAGCGAGUGUAGGUGGCUCAUUAAGUCACAUGUGAAAUCCCCGGGCUUAACCUGGGAACUGCAUGUGAUACUGGUGGUGCUAGAAUAUGUGAGAGGGAAGUAGAAUUCCAGGUGUAGCGGUGAAAUGCGUAGAGAUCUGGAGGAAUACCGAUGGCGAAGGCAGCUUCCUGGCAUAAUAUUGACACUGAGAUUCGAAAGCGUGGGUAGCAAACAGGAUUAGAUACCCUGGUAGUCCACGCCGUAAACGAUGUCUACUAGCCGUUGGGGUCCUUGAGACUUUAGUGGCGCAGUUAACGCGAUAAGUAGACCGCCUGGGGAGUACGGCCGCAAGGUUAAAACUCAAAUGAAUUGACGGGGGCCCGCACAAGCGGUGGAGCAUGUGGUUUAAUUCGAUGCAACGCGAAGAACCUUACCUGGUCUUGACAUAGUGAGAAUCCUGUAGAGAUGCGGGAGUGCCUUCGGGAAUUCACAUACAGGUGCUGCAUGGCUGUCGUCAGCUCGUGUCGUGAGAUGUUGGGUUAAGUCCCGCAACGAGCGCAACCCAUUUCCUUAUUUGCCAGCGGGUUAAGCCGGGAACUUUAAGGAUACUGCCAGUGACAAACUGGAGGAAGGCGGGGACGACGUCAAGUCAUCAUGGCCCUUACGACCAGGGCUACACACGUGCUACAAUGGUAGGUACAGAGGGUUGCUACACAGCGAUGUGAUGCUAAUCUCAAAAAGCCUAUCGUAGUCCGGAUUGGAGUCUGCAACUCGACUCCAUGAAGUCGGAAUCGCUAGUAAUCGCAGAUCAGAAUGCUGCGGUGAAUACGUUCCCGGGCCU